rnacentral:rRNA from 1 species
UAGGGAAUCUUCCGCAAUGGGCGAAAGCCUGACGGAGCAACGCCGCGUGAGUGAUGAAGGUCUUCGGAUCGUAAAACUCUGUUAUUAGGGAAGAACAAAUGUGUAAGUAACUAUGCACGUCUUGACGGUACCUAAUCAGAAAGCCACGGCUAACUACGUGCCAGCAGCCGCGGUAAUACGUAGGUGGCAAGCGUUAUCCGGAAUUAUUGGGCGUAAAGCGCGCGUAGGCGGUUUUUUAAGUCUGAUGUGAAAGCCCACGGCUCAACCGUGGAGGGUCAUUGGAAACUGGAAAACUUGAGGGCAGAAGAGGAAAGUGGAAUUACAUGUGUAGCGGUGAAAUACGCAGAGAUAUGGAGGAAAACCAGUGGCGAAGGCGACUUUCUGGUCUGUAACUGACGCUGAUGUGCGAAAGCGUGGGGAUCAAACAGG